rnacentral:rRNA from 1 species
UGCGCAGGCGGCCAUGUGUGUCAGGUGUGAAAUACCGGGGCUUAACCCCGGAACUGCGCCUGAAACUACAUGGCUAGAGUACUGGAGAGGGUAGUGGGAAUUCACGGUGUAGCAGUGAAAUGCGUAGAUAUCGUGAGGAACACCAGAGGCGAAGGCGACUACCUGGACAGUUACUGACGCUCAGGCACGAAAGCGUGGGGAGCCGAAAGGGAUUAGAUACCCCUGUAGUCCACGCCCUAAACGGUGCACACUAGGUCUUGGCGGAUUCGACCCCGCCGAGGGCCCAAGCUAACGCGUUAAGUGUGCCGCCUGAGGACUACGGCCGCGAAGGCUAAA